UACAAUGGUAUGAAAAUGCAGGCACUGAGUGUUCUGGGCUCUCUCUCAGUGUAUCUCACUGCCCGUCCAAUUAAAAUUAAUCUCUGCCAAACGCAGAUUUUACAUGGCAUUUUACUGUAGAAGAAACUUCAUAUUGACUUUUGUAGACGUAAAUGGGAAAAACCAAACUACCUUUUAAUAUAUCUAUAUCAAAUCAUACAAAUGCACUCUCGAGAGCAGUUAUGUCCUUAUACUGGUAAACUACAACUGCCAUGAUGUCUUUCAGUAGUUUAGAGUGCAGCAGCCAGUCCUUUUAGGGGGAUCCCAUAACACGGCUAAACGCAUUUCUCACCAUCCUUAAAACAAUGAAGCAGUGGCUCCAUGAGACAAAGUGUAAGUGCUAGAGGAAAAGAAAAUCUAUUUGUUACCUCUGUUCCGUCUCUACAUUACCCACCGUUGUUGCUCAAUUAAAGCAGACAGAUUCUGCCAUUUUACCGCCCAGGGAACAACUGAAUUUAAUAGUUUUCCUAGAUCCUCUCAACUGGCCUUCAGCAGUGUUCACUACAAGGAAUAGAAAGAUAAAAUGUGGAGGAGAGAAAUGUUUGCUGUGUACAGCAUUAUUGCAUUACUUAUCCUAUUAUAUGUCAUAGCCAUCUUGUUCAGAAUUAAAAAAUGGCGAGAGAAGAGAAACAGCAAAGAACAGGACAUGGAAGGAAAAUUUCCUCCCUACCAUAUUGCUAGUUUAUAUGAUGAUGAAAAUGUGACGCUAUUCGAAAGGAAAGGAGUACUGGUUAAUGUGGCCUACAACCCAAGAAUCCUCUUGUUGACAAAAUAAUUGUGAUUGAAAAAUGAGCAGUCUAAUGACUCAAGCACAGCAAAGGUUUCAUUUUGUAUGUCUGAUUAAAAUGAACAAGCACUGAACAUGUCAUUAUAAUAAAGAGCAUUACAAAUAA